rnacentral:lncRNA from 1 species
GGAAUGAAUACAAAAAAUUGUGUACCUAGUUUUGAAUACAAAAAAUUAUCAGAGGUAACAGUGUAGAAAUUAAGUAAACAAAAAUUGCAAAACCUUUUUUUGUUUAGAUAAAUUGUUUUUAUUAUAUUAUUAUUUUACUGUGUUCAAUUUUAAAUAUCUAGGUUUUAAUACUUUGCUAAUUUGUAUGCAUUUUUCAUACUCCUUUUCUCAAGUCUCAAAUUAUUUUUUUUGUGAUAAGGUCAUGUUUUAUGCUUCAGCGUAUUUAAUGAUUUCCAUAAGUAGCGUGUUAGGAAAUAGAAUUCAAAAAAAGUAACUUAAUAAUUUUUUUUUAGAGUUUUUGCUCGUUUUAUUUUUUAUUUUUUGCAAAAAAUAUCGGUUUAGUUUUAAAUAUUGUUUUGGGCUUUUAGGCUAAAACUUUAUAAAAAGUAUAAGGGGAUAAAAUAUCAAGUACCAGCUAUAGCCGAGCUAGGGUAAGUAUUGUUGUUGGGUUGUCGCUUUUAUAUCAAGCUUGGCAAGGGCUCUACGCUAGAGCUCGGUUGAGACGCGAGGAUCCAAAAACACCCCCACCCCUAGAUCAAGGCGCCGAAGACAUGAUGGGCUAGCUACCAACCGUGCCUUAAGGCAUAGUUAAGUCAGUUGUCUACUCACUCACAUAGCAAUCAGUGCAUCUCGACAUAUGCCAAGCUGCAGUUUGUCCAAGAACAUGCUAGUUGGUGUGUCUAGGCACGCCGAACUAUGCUAUAAAAUAUUUCUCCAUUUCUCUUUAAAAGUAUGCAAUUUUAGAUAUCUAAAACUUUAAAUUCUUUAUCUUUACCUAAAAACUUUCAACCACUUACCUGAUCGUCGGAGAGUCAUUCUCAGAACAGUUCUAACGGCCAUUCUCAUUGUUAAUGUCUUGCACCUCGGUCCAGCAAACCUACAAAUGCUCUCCGCCACCGUCAAUCGUCGUGCAGCCAUCACAUGUGUCUAUUUUCGAUUUCUCUCCAUCAUUUGUAGUACUCACCCCCCACAGAAAGUAAUGAAAAAAAAGAAAAAAUAGAGUAAACAAUAUUUUUUUUGUUCAUGCAAUUCUUUCAAAUUUUAUAUAUAAUUUUGGAUAUCCUAAUGGGGCAUUAAAUAGCUCACUAAAUUAGCAAACAUUUAACACACAAAAUUGGGACUCAUUUAUGCUUACGUUCACCUCUUAACACGUCCUCUAACACACUUUUUUUCAUCUAGUUCCUUGGACAUGCUCUAACAGGUGGGCUAGAAUGUUACAUAAAUUGCUAAAGGGAGGAUAGUAUAAUUUCAAAGAAUAAAAUGGGUGACAGUGUGAUUCUAAUGGUAUAUAAAAAAAAUGGGUGCAGAAACUCUAUGGUAUGGUUAGUCAUAAAAAAAUGCUUUCUAAAGUAACUCCCAAAUUUUUAUCCUCUUAUCUAAAAAGGGAAUCGUAUUAACUCUUUAAUACUGUUAAUUGAUUACCGCAUCCUUUGUUAUUAAUCAUUUGAAAUGGUGAUGAAUAAAUCGAUCCGUACUGAAUCUUAUCCAACCUACAUUAUUUUUGUGAGAAAUAAGUCAAAGACUCCAGAUUAUUAAAGACUUUAUACAGCCAGUGGGGUGUGGAACAAAUAUAUGCUCGUAUUUAAAAAGUUUUUUAAAAAAAUAAGAAUAUUUUGGAUAUAAAAGCUUAUAAUUGAAGCACAUGGACUAUAUGUGAUUGAUUUUCGUUAUUAUUUUACACAUAUUAGUAAUGAAAGGAGUAUAAGUGAUACAAUUAAAUAGUUAAAUAGGUUAAUAUAAUUCACUUUUUAAAUGAUGAGGUAAAAAUGACAAAAGACAAUAUUUUGGGGAUGAUCCUAAAAAAACAAAAACAAACUUCUAUAUGGUUUCAUAAUUUGAAUCAAAAAAAAAUUUCAAAAUUAAAAAUGAAUAAUUUAGAUUUACUUGAGUGAGUCAAUCUCACAUAACCAAAUGAGUUUAAACUAUUUAUGUUUAAUUUAAAAUUUUUUUUACGGUUUAAAUUUUGGGACAGCAGAAGUUUUCAAGCGUAAUUUAUUGUAGUUUUCAGAAUAUAAAUGUAAAGUUCGGGGCGGUCAGCAUAAUUUCUCACAAAUUUUGUCAGGUCAUUUGAAUACGUAGAAGUACACAUCACCACAAAUCUGCCCACGUCUCUCUGUGCCCUGAUUUUCCAUCCGAUCAUCAGCUUCCAAGAGGUAAGCCCUCUCUCUCUCUCCAAUUCAAGCCCGUAUCUAUGUGUAUCUGUUUGAUAUGAUCAUAAUUUUGUUGCAGAUCUUUUUUUAUCUCAUCAGGUAAGAACUUAUUCGAUAUGAGAUCCGAUAUCUACAUAGAUACAUCACAUACGCUAAAAGAUACAAAUAUGCUUAUAUAUGUCAAAUUAGUUGCUGUUCUCUACGAAGAUUCGCUCUUCGCUGUGAUUGUUUCAUACGAUUUCUUCUUCGAUGAAUUGUCACGUUUUCCAUAGGUUUCGAUAAUCGGGAGGUCGAAAUCCGAAUAGAUCCAUAUAUUCAAAGGCCCUUUGAUCUUUCAAUAGAAGUUAUCUGGAAUUUGAAGCUUUUGAGGUCAAAUUCUUAAAUGAUGGGAAAAAAAAAAGCUGCACGUUUUCUUCAGGGUUGAUUAAUUGGCUUGUGUGAUGAUUUGCCUAAUAUCCGGAUUCAAUAAUUAUUGUUUGUUUCAGAUGAGAAAUUCUAGUCACCAAAUGCUAUCAUCAUUUUAUCAAAUUAUGUGAAUAGAAAAUCAAGGUGAAUUAUGUCCUUCUAAGCAUUGGUGAAUAAAAGCGGUGAUAAAAUAUGUUAAUGAUUGAUAAAUAUGUAAGAUUUGAUAAAUUGUAGGUAGAUUUGGUUCUAAAUCACGUGGUAUGACGUUGUUUGUUGACCGCUGACGAUAUGAAAUCGAGAUGUUGUCGUUGACAUGAUAUAUUCUUUGUAUAUAAAAGUUCAUAUAACUACGAUGGUGCUAGUUUGUGCCUUUCUGAUACUUUUCAUUCAUUAUGACCCAUUUGGUCAUAACUCGAUCUUAAGCACUAGUUUCUUUGAAGCAACCCAAGUAUGGCUGUGUUUCGAUUACCUGGGUCAUGAUCAUGAAAGAUCAAGUCAGUCUUUGGGUCCUUUAUAGUGGUAUUAUGACUAGAUUAUCUAGUAUUUUCAAACAUUUCUUAGUUUCCUACCUGGAAUCAUUGUAGAUAGAAUUAGUUUAGUGUGGCCUUAUGCAAGAUGAUUUGGCAGGCCGGUUUGCAAUCCAAAUAAAAUGUUGUGUUUGACGGGCGAGGGAUAACAAAAGAAGGAGAAUGAAACUGAGGGGUAAGUGGCUAAAGCAGUUAGGAGUUAGGGGGGGAUUGUUGGUUUAAUCAGAGCUCUAUUUUUAGAAAGUGGUAUAUGGGUCAUGGGAUCGUGGUCUUUGAGCUUUAAAACGAAUACAGAUACCAUCGUUCGGUAGGCAAAUGAAUGGAUUAUCAAAUGCUCAAAAGUUGCAAAUGUUAAAACGAAAUGUCUUUCUUAGCUUACCUGUGAGUGCUGUGGAAUAACAGAAACCAAUCAAUUUAGAAGUUAGAUCUCCAAUAAGCUUGUAAAUAUGUAGUUCAGACUACACUGUGGAUUCAGAGAUAACGAAAAUAGUAGAGAUGCUCAAUCUCACAAAAUUAUCGAUAGAAUCCUCAUUAGCCAGACGUUAAUAAGUCAAUUUUACUGGGCAACUUCUCUGGGGCGAGACGGAGGUGUCCAGGUGUGGGUGGUUAUUGUGGAGUGUGAAGGGAAUGUGACUGUGGCUGUGUUCGAAAUGAAUGCAGUUUACUGAAGAUGCAAAUUCAGGUGGAAGUUAUGGCCAACAUAAAUAUGAUCGUUCUAUAUCUAAAGCCAAUCCUAAAGCACGGCAGAAAGGCAUCAUCAAUUAUUGUAAUGGAAAUUCCAUUUUUUAAUGGAGGCGACAGCGCCAAAAAUCCAUUUUGUUCAGUCUUUCUUGGAUCCUGACCUCCCACGUGUGAGUUGAAAAAAUGACAAUCAAAAGUCAUGGUAUUUCUAUAAUAUAAUAUUCGGAAUAGGUUUAAGAAGCCCAAGGCCAAAAAAAGGUCAAGAACACCACAAAUUUGAGGAUUUCAAUAUAACCACAAUAGUCUGCCAAAAAACGAAUCUCUACAAUAAUAAAGCAAGAUGUUGAUUCAAAUGAAUCAAUGACAAAUUAAAGAAAAUUUCGUUAUCAGCAAAACAAUCAAAGAAACCGCAGGACUCUAUCAUAGAUUCCGAAGGCAAGUGUCACAACAAAAUUUUGAAUCCGCAACAAACCAGAAACACAAAUGAAGGUAACCAGGUUAUGGCAGUUAGUCAGUGAUGAACCUUCUCAAAAUGUCCCAUGCACACUAGAUCCCCAUGCCAGUGGCACCUCAGGAGCACGCCAUAUACAUAAAAGAUGUGAGACCGUGAGAAACCUACCCUUCCCUACCUAAAAAUCACGGUAGGCCAAACGAAAUACACAAAUACCAAAUAUCCAAAAAUGAAGAAAAAGUUCAAAAGAAAUGAAGGCCAACCAAACUUACAAGGGUCACCAUACCUUAUCCUUUUAUCGUGUCCCCGUAGCACACCCCAUCCCUCAAAAAAAUCAAAAAAAACAAACCCACACGGUUCAUAUUUGGCAAUCAAACAUUAAUGCUAAAACCAAAUAAACAGAAGACAUACCAUCUAGACCUAAUAGCAAUAAAGUAGGCCUUUCAAAAUUCAACUAACCACACAGAUAUAAUAAAAAUACCAUUGACACAAUAUGCCUUCAUUUCUGAUACUUCAGUCCAAAAUUAAUAGUGAUGCGGAACUAAUCAACAAAAUCAGAAGGGACCUAUGCAAGCAAAUCACACCACAUUAUAAACGGAAAUAGAAGCAACCUACUUGAGAUCAGAUGCACUGUGGAUCACAUGAUAAUUUGUGACAAUGUGACUGUAUUUAUCCAAGACAAAGCCUGAAUCACGAUCCUUGAGCACCUCAACACGUCCAAUGUAAAAGCAUCUGCCUAGAAAACACACCCACAUAACACCAAAAAAAACCCCAGAUCCAGAACUGCUUUCACCUCCCUCAGAAACAGAACAUAUUAAAACAGACAAGGAUAAAUACAUCACAGCAACAAGAAUCAAGGUUCAUCACAUUAGAUACAGAUCAUGGUUAUUCCAAUUUCACACGACACAUUUUAAAUCAAUCUAGGAACUGUUACACACAGCUCCUAAAGCAUCACAUAUAACUUAAAAAAUAAAAAAGAUCACAAAUGGGGAAAAUUUCAAUUGAAGCCAAAGAACUUAAAAACACUAAUAUAUUACCCGAAGCAUGACUUGUGAUGUAGACAACAAAAAGUGUUAGAGGAAGAGACAUCUUCACAGUGGAUAGAUCAAAAGUAGUUAGAAGAAAGUCACGUGGUUAUGGGGAAUUGUUGUAAGGCAUUGAACCACUUGCAGUUGUAUGCGACCAACUGAUAUUAGCUAGUAAACCUCGAUGGAUUGACUGAUGUAGAGAGAGAGCAUGAAUUAAAUUUAGUCUUCGAUCUUAUUUCUGGAAAUUCUUCUUGGUAUUAGAGCCUGAGAGUCCCACAAGCUCUAAUGGCUUCUUCAAACCUAUACUCAUCAUCUUCGUCAUCUCCAUCAACUACCUCUCAAACUCAUCGUAUCUCUCUUCAUCUCUACUUCUUCCAAUCUCAAAUCUGGUUCUCUAUGUGACGAUCAAACUGGAAUUCACAAAUUAUGUCAUUGGAUGAAAUCACAGAUCUCUUGAACCGCUAACAGGGUCUAAAUAUUUGUAUUUUUUCCAAAGUUUUAACUACCUGCAAAUUUAAGCAUUAAGAUAGCUGAAGGUGGACCUCACGUGAUCUGUGUGAUUAAUAAGUAGUAUUUUGUGGGCAGGCAUGAGGCUGUCGAGGGUUUUGGUGCUGCUGGAUUUUGCUGAUGCACGGUUUUUAUAAGAUUUGGCAGUUCCUAGAUUCAUUCUCUCU